UCUGCCCCUAGAAGCAUUGCAGGUGAGGCUGCUGUGUCAGAUGUGCAUUAGCAGCUGGCAGAAAGAAGAGAGGCUGUCUAUGCUCAGUGUUCUGACCUAUGAAUAUCUGAAUGACAUUCCCUGCAAU